rnacentral:rRNA from 1 species
AGACCAGCACCUCAAGUGGUCAGGAUGAUUAUUGGGCCUAAAGCAUCCGUAGCCGGCUCUGUAAGUUUUCGGUUAAAUCUGUACGCUCAACGUACAGGCUGCCGGGAAUACUGCAGAGCUAGGGAGUGGGAGAGGUAGACGGUACUCGGGAGGAAGUGGUAAAAUGCUUUGAUCUCUCGAUGACCACCUGUGGCGAAGGCGGUCUACCAGAACACGUCCGACGGUGAGGGAUGAAAGCUGGGGGAGCAAACCGGAUUAGAAACCCGGGUAGUCC